rnacentral:rRNA from 1 species
CUACGUGCCAGCAGCCGCGGUAAUACGUAGGGCGCGAGCGUUGUCCGGAAUUAUUGGGCGUAAAGAGCUUGUAGGCGGUUUGUCGCGUCUGCUGUGAAAGGCCGGGGCUUAACCCCGUGUAUUGCAGUGGGUACGGGCAGACUAGAGUGCAGUAGGGGAGACUGGAAUUCCUGGUGUAGCGGUGGAAUGCGCAGAUAUCAGGAGGAACACCGAUGGCGAAGGCAGGUCUCUGGGCUGUAACUGACGCUGAGAAGCGAAAGCAUGGGGAGCGAACAGGAUUAGAUACCCUGGUAGUCCAUGCCGUAAACGUUGGGCACUAGGUGUGGGGGACAUUCCACGUUUUCCGCGCCGUAGCUAACGCAUUAAGUGCCCCGCCUGGGGAGUACGGCCGCAAGGCUAAAACUCAAAGAAGUUGACGGGGGCCCGCACAAGCGGCGGAGCAUGCGGAUUAAUUCGAUGCAACGCGAAGAACCUUACCAAGGCUUGACAU